GUUUUCCCGCGCCGUUUGUGGUCAGAAGCAAUUUGUAACUCAGGUGACGAUCCCAGCACUCUCCAUAGAUGGCGGUGUUAAGUGACGAUCCCAGCACUCUCCAGUAGAUGGCAGUAAUGCAACACUUAUGGAUGCCAACUGCUGUUAAACCACAUGAAGAAGCUUUGUCAAAUGUUUCGGAGAGACGGUUUGCACCAUAGACAUAAUAGAAUCUACUUGAUGUUCCUCCAGAUCUGACUAAUCAGAUGCUGUCCUGAACACCUGUUUGACGAGGUUUACCUGGACCCACAAGACUCUCCUCAUUGUAUGAAGGUAUUGUGGGACAGGUGCCAUACUUCUGCCAAGUGAUGAUGGUCUGAAGACAACACAGCAGCAUCAGGAAAGAUUCAGUAUCCACAGGAUGACUUCUGUGACCUGAGAGCCUACAUUAUCAGCUGACAUCUUCAGUAGAAAAGAAACCCUUUAGACUGGUGGAGGACAUGAUCUGGACAGUUAUCUGCUACUCAUGCAUUAUGUAUACACACUUUAUAUUUCCAUUUCAUUGACUAUGAAUAAAGUGCUUUAUUUCUA